CUCACUCGUACGUUUUGGGUCCUGAAAUCCUAGAAUCCCAAUAUGGCGACAUUUCCCUCAUUCAGACAUAUUGAAAUUCUAUCCUUUUUUUCCGAAAACAAUCUUGUUUAUUAUGGCCAGACAUUUGUAGAUUCAUCUUGUUUUUCCCCCCCUUCCAUUUAAAAAAGAAAUAAUUCACAGCUGAUUGCAUGUCAUGUGGAAGUGGGGAUCGAGAGCAAUUCAGAUUUUUCUCUUUGGACAAGCAGCGAUUCAGAGACCGUAACGUCCCUCAGAUUGACACGUGACACUAACACGAGCGCCAGGUUUCCCACGUGUCCUCCACUUGAUUCUCUGAGGGGAUUUUCGAGGUUUGACUGCUGCUGCUGCGACUUCAUCGUCUCAUCGUGACCUCUGCCCCCGUGGUAAUUGCACCGGAUGUCUUUGCAAAGACCCUCUCAAAAGAGACGAACCUGGAGUCAAGGCGAGCGUCAUCCGUUGGACAGAACGCAGUGGUGGUCGACAUCCUGCCGCCGCCGCUCCCGGAAGUUCCAGUUAAAAAUAGACAGGUAUCUGAUGGUGGUGCCAGGUGAAGAGUCAGAGGCUCAACAGUCAUCAUGAACAUCCAUCCAUCGUCUACCGCUUUAUCCAUCUAAGGGCUGCGGGGGGGCUGGAGCCAAUCCCAGCUGACAUUGGGCGAGAGG